AGUAAAAUGAAAGCAUCGCUGAAAGAGGACCUGAGUUUUCUCAAAAAGGUGCCGCUGCUGGCUGAAGCCACGUCCAACCUUGAUGCCCCCGUGCCUGGCUACUUGUACAAAGAGAUCAGCUCCAUGACAGUGGAGAAUGAUGGCCAGUAUGCCGAGCAAGUCGUGGAUUACCUUCUGGGUGCCUUAGUCGAGGGACCAUCACCAACAAAAGUGAAGUGCCUGAGAGUCCUGCAUCAUGUACUCACUAAUGGUCAUGCCACAGUACGUUCCAUCCUAGCCAGAAAAGACACUGCCAUUCGAUCAGCUGCAAAUGUGUCCGGUGGUGGUUCGGAGAACCAGUGCCUCCGCUUGCUUGCCAAGGACCUGCUGCAUGUGGUUCAUGGCGACGGUGCUGGGAGUCAACAGACUUCUGGCCAGCUCCCCCCUGCUCAGCAAGAAAACCGGUCGUAUUCUGGGCUUGGGGCUUCGGGUGGCUACAACUGGAAAAUACCAGGGAUUUGGAAAUGCCACCACUAGGCCCAAAGACACUGACCGAACAGGUGACUGACGGGAUCGCGAGGGUUGUGGACAAGAUCUCGGGGAAGCCGGCCGACAAGGGUAGCACUGACCUGCUGACCGAAGACCUGCCCAAGUUUCAGCCCGUGACAGUUCAGUCCCCGCCUUCCAUGCCGGUAAAAACUGCCAGCAUUCCACAGCAGCCAGUGAAGGUUGCAGCAAAACCACAGAAAGCCCGCAAGAAGGGCCGUGCCG
rnacentral:misc_RNA from 1 species